rnacentral:rRNA from 1 species
AGGACGAACGCUGGCGGCGUGCUUAACACAUGCAAGUCGAACGAUGAACCACUUCGGUGGGGAUUAGUGGCGAACGGGUGAGUAACACGUGGGCAAUCUGCCCUUCACUCUGGGACAAGCCCUGGAAACGGGGUCUAAUACCGGAUAUCACUUCCACGGGCAUCUGUGGGGGUUGAAAGCUCCGGCGGUGAAGGAUGAGCCCGCGGCCUAUCAGCUUGUUGGUGAGGUAAUGGCUCACCAAGGCGACGACGGGUAC